rnacentral:tRNA from 1 species
UCCUGGUUAGCUCACUUGGCAGAGCGCACACUGGAAAUGGAGAGGUCCCUGGUUCGGUACCAAGACCAGGGG